rnacentral:rRNA from 1 species
ACUCCUACGGGAGGCAGCAGUGGGGAAUUUUGGACAAUGGGCGCAAGCCUGAUCCAGCAAUGCCGCGUGCAGGAAGAAGGCCUUCGGGUUGUAAACUGCUUUUGUCAGGGAAGAAAUCUUCUGGGUUAAUACCUCGGGAGGAUGACGGUACCUGAAGAAUAAGCACCGGCUAACUACGUGCCAGCAGCCGCGGUAAUA